AGAGAGCAUGCGAAAUGAAGAG
rnacentral:miRNA from 1 species